rnacentral:rRNA from 1 species
UACGGGGGGGGUAAGCGUUGUUCGGAAUUACUGGGCGUAAAGGGCUCGUAGGCGGCCAACUAAGUCAGACGUGAAAUCCCUCAGCUUAACUGGGGAACUGCGUCUGAUACUGGAUGGCUUGGAUUCGGGAGAGGAAUGCGGAAUUCCAGGUGUAGCGGUGAAAUGCGUAGAUAUCUGGAGGAACACCGGUGGCGAAGGCGGCAUUCUGGACCGAUAUUGACGCUGAGGAGCGAAAGCCAGGGGAACAAACGGG